UACGAAGGGGACUAGCGUUGUUCGGAUUUACUGGGCGUAAAGCGCGCGUAGGCGGACUCUUAAGUCAGGGGUGAAAUGCCAGGGCUCAACCUUGGAAUUGCCUUUGAUACUGGGUGUCUGGAGUUCGGGAGAGGUGAGUGGAAUUCCGAGUGUAGAGGUGAAAUUCGUAGAUAUUCGGAGGAACACCAGAAGCGAAGGCGGCUCACUGGCCCGAUACUGACGCUGAGGCGCGAAAGCGUGGGGAGCAAACAGG
rnacentral:rRNA from 1 species